GGCAGAGGAGGAGGCGGCUGGAGUGGGAGGGAGGGUUUUCUCUGUUCUUUCUGGUCUUUUUCAUAGUCAGAGAGAGAGAGGAGGCAGGAUGGGGCAGACUGAAGGGUGGGCACCGCCGUGUCCCCUCCCAGAUGGCAAUGAAAUGUCUUGGGGGAGCGCCUUUUCCAAACCCAGCACAAAGGAACUGUUCUCAUGCAUCAGCUGCAGCUCUACACACAGGUUUGACAAUUGGGUGGCUUUGGUUUUCUCUGCAAGGCAGGUGGGUUUACCUGAUGAGUGUGAAGGGAUCAGAGGUAGAGGAGAGAGGAGCAAGUAUGUAGUGCUCACUCUGGAGCCCUGGAAGGAGGGCUGAAUAUUUCCCCCUGGGAAACGUGGGGGGUGAAUUUUUUUGGUGGCUCCAAUCUGCUAGGGCACAAUUUCCUCACAGGUGUGGAGGUGGCACGAGCCUUGAAGGAGACACACAUGUAUGUGAAUGCAUGUGCAGGUCUAUGUAGAGAUGAGGUGUAUAUGUGUACAGGUAAGAAUAUCAGUGUGCGUGUGUUUUCAUAUCAUAUAUAGGUAUAAGAGAACAAAACUUUAUGUAUGUCUAUAAGUAGGUGCAUAUGUGCACACAUGUCUGGGUAGGUGUCAGAUGUUGCUACAUGAUACUUUCUUGAGUGUCUUCGUUUGGGCUAAAGCUUUCAAACUUAGGAUAAUUGGAGCCCCACAUCCCUACAUUUAAAGCCCGAUGCUGGAUCAUCCAUAUGCGAUGUGCUGGGGGAGCUAGGUUUGAUUGAAUUUUUGGCGUCAAUUCUCAAUCAUUCCCUGUAUUCAUGCCCUUUGCUAUGUAACUGCAGUUUCUCCCACAAAAGGUGGAAUGUAUUUCCCUGGACCUUGGCUUUGGACUCAUGUGACUUUUGCUUUGAGCAGCCAGAUGUUAGCAGAUGUGACACAGAGACUUGAAAUGUGCUUAUACAGUGGAGUCUGCCCUCUUAAACUCUUGCCAUCAUCAUGAGAAGAGCACCUGGCUAGGGCGCUGAUUCCAGGAGCACCUUUUGGUUCCAGGAGGGGGAUGGAGGAUAUGCAGAGCAGAACCAGCCAACCUGCAAACUCAUGAAUGAGAACAAAUGCAUAUUAUUGUGUGUGCCACUGAAAUUAUGUGCUUGCUUGUUACACAGCAUUAUUGUGGUAAUAGUUGACUGAUACAAAAAUUGGUACCAAGAGUGGGGUGUGUUAGCAACAAAAAUGAAAAUAUGUAGCACUGGCUCUGGGACCAACUGGUGAGCAGUAAGUGAACUGUUACAGCAGGCUUGAAAAAAGGUGGCCCAUAUUAUAUAGAGACAAAACGCUUGGUAAAACUGUCAAUCUACAGUAACUUGAAGAGAGCAAAUGGAUUUAAGCGAGAUAGUUUCCAGGCAAAAUGUUGAAAGCAAAAGCUGGCGCCUUUGGGCUACAUUUGAUAAGGACUUACGAGAAAGAGAGCAACUCAUAAAAGAUAUAGGAGUGUUGCAGGGCACAGAGUGUUUAGAGGGAAUAUAGAGAGCCUAGAACUUGCUGAGUUGGAAAAUUAAUCUGUCAACUCUAGCCUCUCCUGCCAGUAAAUCAUUCUCAAAUUAAGAUAGAGCCUGGACAAAAGACAAAGAUCAAACUAAGGUCAUGGCCAGUUAAGACUCUAAAAUAGUAAGGUACCAUCUAGUAGAUGCUCUCAGCUACUCAAAAAGGCUUCCAGAAAGCUUAAGAGGUUGGCCCCACAGAAGCUUGAUGUACUCAAAGUAGUUAUAAUUGAGUCUAGAGACACUGGCAUGACUCAAAAAUAAUUGUGGGUGUGGCUUUCGUUACAUGGAGUUAAGUGGAAUCAAAUACAUAGAAAACCCACAAAGUGUUUGAGGUAGGUACAUGGCCAAAACUAUGAUCAGCUUAGGCUAAAGGGACUGAGACCAUUCAAGGUAUAAAAAGACAUCUGGGUCCCUAACUUUCUUCAGGCAGGAGGCAGGCUAAGAAAGCUGUUCAGCUGCCCAAAGGACAUAUUCUUCAAUGGUCUCUUUAGAAGUGGCCAAAAAGACUAAUGGAAAAGGAAGGGUUUUCAGAGAGCAGAGCCAAGAGCUGUGGAAACCAAUGGAUUAGCAAGUCAACCCCAGGGAGGAAAGCUCGGGCCUAAUCAAGGAACAUUCCCAGAGUAUUCACCCAACAUUCGCCCAGAAGGACUCCAGAAGUGUCAUGGAUCAGUAAGUUUCUGAAUUCCCUUUCUCUCUCUUUCUGAACGGGAGUAUGAAUUGCAGUUAUCCUGUACAUAUUUUGCCAAUGUAUGCUGGAUGUGUGGGGAGUUGGCAGGGCAGGUAGAUAACUUUUUUUUUUAGAUUUUAGGUCAUUCAACCAAGAGGAGCCACAUCCAGACCUGAUAUAGAUCAGGAGAUCUUGCUGUUAUGACUAGAAGAGACUUUGGGAGGUCUUAAGUAUAGGCGUAUUUUCUAUGUGAGAGGGGUGUGAAUAAAUGUGGCCAAGAGAGUGGACUGUAAUAGAGUGAAUUAUUGACCCUGAUUCUUCACUCCUCCCUCCAUACUCCUUGCCAUAGAAAUACAGUUUUUUUACACAAAGGUGGGAGGGUAUUUCUCCAUCCUUUGUCUUUGAGCUCAAUCAUAGGACUUGCUUUAGCCAACAGGAUUUUAGCAGAUAUUAUGCAAGCAGGGGCCUUGAAAUGUGCUUGGGUAGUUAGGCUUGCUCUCUUGUGUUUAUGCCAUCACCAUGAGAAGAAUAUGCCCUGGCUAGGCCACUGACCCAGGACUCUUUGGUCGUAGGAGGAGGAUGAGAGACAUGUGGAGCAGAGCAGUUCCAGCUGACCCACAAACUUGGGAGCAAGAAAUAAACGUCAGUUGUUGUGUUACAA